rnacentral:rRNA from 2 species
ACUAAGCGUACACGGUGGAUGCCCUGGCAGUCAGAGGCGAUGAAGGACGUGCUAAUCUGCGAUAAGCGUCGGUAAGGUGAUAUGAACCGUUAUAACCGGCGAUUUCCGAAUGGGGAAACCCAGUGUGAUUCGUCACACUAUCAUUAACUGAAUCCAUAGGUUAAUGAGGCGAACCGGGGGAACUGAAACAUCUAAGUACCCCGAGGAAAAGAAAUCAACCGAGAUUCCCCCAGUAGCGGCGAGCGAACGGGGAGGAGCCCAGAGCCUGAAUCAGUGUGUGUGUUAGUGGAAGCGUCUGGAAAGGCGCGCGAUACAGGGUGACAGCCCCGUACACAAAAAUGCACAUGCUGUGAGCUCGAUGAGUAGGGCGGGACACGUGGUAUCCUGUCUGAAUAUGGGGGGACCAUCCUCCAAGGCUAAAUACUCCUGACUGACCGAUAGUGAACCAGUACCGUGAGGGAAAGGCGAAAAGAACCCCGGCGAGGGGAGUGAAAAAGAACCUGAAACCGUGUACGUACAAGCAGUGGGAGCACAGAGCAAUCUGUGUGACUGCGUACCUUUUGUAUAAUGGGUCAGCGACUUAUAUUCUGUAGCAAGGUUAACCGAAUAGGGGAGCCGAAGGGAAACCGAGUCUUAACUGGGCGUUAAGUUGCAGGGUAUAGACCCGAAACCCGGUGAUCUAGCCAUGGGCAGGUUGAAGGUUGGGUAACACUAACUGGAGGACCGAACCGACUAAUGUUGAAAAAUUAGCGGAUGACUUGUGGCUGGGGGUGAAAGGCCAAUCAAACCGGGAGAUAGCUGGUUCUCCCCGAAAGCUAUUUAGGUAGCGCCUCGUGAAUUCAUCUCCGGGGGUAGAGCACUGUUUCGGCAAGGGGGUCAUCCCGACUUACCAACCCGAUGCAAACUGCGAAUACCGGAGAAUGUUAUCACGGGAGACACACGGCGGGUGCUAACGUCCGUCGUGAAGAGGGAAACAACCCAGACCGCCAGCUAAGGUCCCAAAGUCAUGGUUAAGUGGGAAACGAUGUGGGAAGGCCCAGACAGCCAGGAUGUUGGCUUAGAAGCAGCCAUCAUUUAAAGAAAGCGUAAUAGCUCACUGGUCGAGUCGGCCUGCGCGGAAGAUGUAACGGGGCUAAACCAUGCACCGAAGCUGCGGCAGCGACACUAUGUGUUGUUGGGUAGGGGAGCGUUCUGUAAGCCUGUGAAGGUGUGCUGUGAGGCAUGCUGGAGGUAUCAGAAGUGCGAAUGCUGACAUAAGUAACGAUAAAGCGGGUGAAAAGCCCGCUCGCCGGAAGACCAAGGGUUCCUGUCCAACGUUAAUCGGGGCAGGGUGAGUCGACCCCUAAGGCGAGGCCGAAAGGCGUAGUCGAUGGGAAACAGGUUAAUAUUCCUGUACUUGGUGUUACUGCGAAGGGGGGACGGAGAAGGCUAUGUUGGCCGGGCGACGGUUGUCCCGGUUUAAGCGUGUAGGCUGGUUUUCCAGGCAAAUCCGGAAAAUCAAGGCUGAGGCGUGAUGACGAGGCACUACGGUGCUGAAGCAACAAAUGCCCUGCUUCCAGGAAAAGCCUCUAAGCAUCAGGUAACAUCAAAUCGUACCCCAAACCGACACAGGUGGUCAGGUAGAGAAUACCAAGGCGCUUGAGAGAACUCGGGUGAAGGAACUAGGCAAAAUGGUGCCGUAACUUCGGGAGAAGGCACGCUGAUAUGUAGGUGAAGCGACUUGCUCGUGGAGCUGAAAUCAGUCGAAGAUACCAGCUGGCUGCAACUGUUUAUUAAAAACACAGCACUGUGCAAACACGAAAGUGGACGUAUACGGUGUGACGCCUGCCCGGUGCCGGAAGGUUAAUUGAUGGGGUCAGCGCAAGCGAAGCUCUUGAUCGAAGCCCCGGUAAACGGCGGCCGUAACUAUAACGGUCCUAAGGUAGCGAAAUUCCUUGUCGGGUAAGUUCCGACCUGCACGAAUGGCGUAAUGAUGGCCAGGCUGUCUCCACCCGAGACUCAGUGAAAUUGAACUCGCUGUGAAGAUGCAGUGUACCCGCGGCAAGACGGAAAGACCCCGUGAACCUUUACUAUAGCUUGACACUGAACAUUGAGCCUUGAUGUGUAGGAUAGGUGGGAGGCUUUGAAGUGUGGACGCCAGUCUGCAUGGAGCCGACCUUGAAAUACCACCCUUUAAUGUUUGAUGUUCUAACGUUGACCCGUAAUCCGGGUUGCGGACAGUGUCUGGUGGGUAGUUUGACUGGGGCGGUCUCCUCCUAAAGAGUAACGGAGGAGCACGAAGGUUGGCUAAUCCUGGUCGGACAUCAGGAGGUUAGUGCAAUGGCAUAAGCCAGCUUGACUGCGAGCGUGACGGCGCGAGCAGGUGCGAAAGCAGGUCAUAGUGAUCCGGUGGUUCUGAAUGGAAGGGCCAUCGCUCAACGGAUAAAAGGUACUCCGGGGAUAACAGGCUGAUACCGCCCAAGAGUUCAUAUCGACGGCGGUGUUUGGCACCUCGAUGUCGGCUCAUCACAUCCUGGGGCUGAAGUAGGUCCCAAGGGUAUGGCUGUUCGCCAUUUAAAGUGGUACGCGAGCUGGGUUUAGAACGUCGUGAGACAGUUCGGUCCCUAUCUGCCGUGGGCGCUGGAGAACUGAGGGGGGCUGCUCCUAGUACGAGAGGACCGGAGUGGACGCAUCACUGGUGUUCGGGUUGUCAUGCCAAUGGCACUGCCCGGUAGCUAAAUGCGGAAGAGAUAAGUGCUGAAAGCAUCUAAGCACGAAACUUGCCCCGAGAUGAGUUCUCCCUGACUCCUUGAGAGUCCUGAAGGAACGUUGAAGACGACGACGUUGAUAGGCCGGGUGUGUAAGCGCAGCGAUGCGUUGAGCUAACCGGUACUAAUGAACCGUGAGGCUUAACC